AAGUCGUAACAAGGUCUCCGUAGGUGAACCUGCGGAGGGAUCAUUAACACGUAUCCACGUUAACAAACCAAACCGCGCACUCUGGGAUCAAAGAACCCCUCCUUUCGAGGAAGGUAGUAUGAGAUCUCAAUCCGACUUGGAGAAGAAAUGCUGUCAUUGAGCACUGUGUAGUGGGUCCUUAUAGAGCUCCGUUCGCGGAGUCACUAAGGGACGGUGCUCUUUGGCUGGAGGGAAAAGCUCAAAGCAUCCUAUUCUCUAAGUAUAAAAUUUUUUCUACCUCUACGGGAAGCCAACCUAUUUCACCCCCUAUAUAACCACUUGACUGAUGACACUCGUACGGAGAAAUCCGAAUCGAGUAUUCGAUAUUCGAACUAAAGCACAACUCUUAGCAACGGAUAUCUUGGUUCUC
rnacentral:misc_RNA from 1 species